CCUACGGGAGGCAGCAGUAGGGAAUCUUGGACAAUGGGCGCAAGCCUGAUCCAGCCAUGCCGCGUGAGUGAAGAAGGCCUUAGGGUCGUAAAGCUCUUUCGCCUGUGAUGAUAAUGACAGUAGCAGGUAAAGAAACCCCGGCUAACUCCGUGCCAGCAGCCGCGGUAAUACGGAGGGGGUUAGCGUUGUUCGGAAUUACUGGGCGUAAAGCGCGCGUAGGCGGAUUGGAAAGUUAGAGGUGAAAUCCCGGGGCUCAACCCCGGAACGGCCUUUAAAACUCCCAGUCUAGAGUUCGAGAGAGGUGAGUGGAAUUCCAAGUGUAGAGGUGAAAUUCGUAGAUAUUUGGAGGAACACCAGUGGCGAAGGCGGCUCACUGGCUCGAUACUGACGCUGAGGUGCGAAAGUGUGGGGAGCAAACAGGAUUAGAUACCCUGGUAGUCCACACCGUAAACGAUGAAUGCCAGUCGUCGGAUAGUAUACUAUUCGGUGACACACCUAACGGAUUAAGCAUUCCGCCUGGGGAGUACGGUCGCAAGAUUAAAACUCAAAGGAAUUGACGG
rnacentral:rRNA from 1 species